UGGAGGAACAACCCCAGUGGCUGUGGCAGCUCUGGAAACCUGGAUUCAGCCCCCACAGUAACUACAGAGCUCUCUGUCUGCAGGGCCUGGAGGCUCUGAGGCGGG
rnacentral:pre_miRNA from 1 species